GAGGCGCUGUGAACUCCGUCAGGUCCGGAAGGAAGCAGCGGUAAGCAGUUGCUCUCGGGUGCCGCAGGGUCACCGAGCCCGAGUUCGCCUUUCGCGCGAUAAGCUUGAGGUCCGGAUCGAUAGCGGGUGCACGG
rnacentral:SRP_RNA from 1 species